ACCUUUUGGGGGCAAUUUUCAAUGCCAAAAACCCUAAGGUUCAUCAAAUAAAUUUGAGCAUCUUAGAAGAACCCUUGUUGAACCCCUAAUUUUUAGAGUGCACCAUUGACUUCUUCAGCAAUCAUCAGAAAUGAAUCUUUGAGACUUUUAAUUGAAUUUCUCCUUGGCAUCCUACCAUACCUCCGCAGUAUGUAUUUCCGAGUGUUCACUCUAACGAAGAGAAGGAGAAGAGGUGUGCUGGGAACCUUCCUCCUCUUCCUCCUCUCCCUCCUCUCCCUCCUCCUCCUCUGUCCUACCAGGAAUGGACCAGGAUCAACCCAGAUGAUUCAGAGGUCCCUAGCCUGGGCCUGGAAGGGCUGGAGCUGAGGACCCUGCCCUCUGCUGGAAACACAGAAAUACGUAGCAAGACUCCUGAGCCCUUAUCCAUAGAGGAGGUGUGUCAACGCAACCCUUCAGGGGUGACCGAUUGUGGAUAUGAGCUUUGGAGGAAUUAUGAUGAGGAGAGUAUCUUCUUUUGAUGUGAAGACCACGAGGCUACACCAAUCACCAACCCUCAGGCUACACCAAUCACCAACCCUCAGGCUACACCAAUCACCAACCCUCAGGCUACACCAAUCACCAACCCUCAGGCUACACCAAUCACCAACCCUCAGGCUACACCAAUCACCAACCCUCAGGCUACACCAAUCACCAACCCUCAGGCUACACCAAUCACCAACCCUCAGGCUACACCAAUCACCAACCCUCAGGCUACACCAAUCACCAACCCUCAGGCUACACCAAUCACCAACCCUCAGGCUACACCAAUCACCAACCCUCAGGCUACACCAAUCACCAACCCUCAGGCUACACCAAUCACCAACCCUCAGGCUACACCAAUCACCAACCCUCAGGCUACACCAAUCACCAACCCUCAGGCUACACCAAUCACCAACCCUCAGGCUACACCAAUCACCAACCCUCAGGCUACACCAAUCACCAACCCUCAAACUAAAACCAUGAAUAAGAGAAGAGGAAUAUUAUAUGAUGUAUUAUUUAGAGACCAGUUCACGUUGAGUGUGCAGAGUAUAGCCUAUACUAAUCUGGAGUCCUAUUAUGUUUAUUUUUGACUGUAACAACAACAACAACAAAAAACUAUAUAAAUUGUAAAAUUACAAAUGUUUUUUACAAAUAAAAUGUAUUAUUAGCAGUAUGUAUUUUACUUAUAGAAUGUAUCAUCCACAAUAUGAGUUAAGAAAUAAAGGUCAAAUAACGGAUAGAAAAGCAAGUCUUUAGCUACCAAUUAUUUUAAGAGAAAUAUAACCAAUGUGUAUUUAGAAUAACUCUUUCUACUCACUCGAUUGAUUCUGAUAAUAAUAAUAAAACUUGCUGAAAAGUUUUUUCCUGA